rnacentral:rRNA from 1 species
CCUACGGGCGGCAGCAGUGAGGAAUAUUGGUCAAUGGGCGGGAGCCUGAACCAGCCAAGCCGCGUGAGGGAAGAAGGUACAGCGUAUCGUAAACCUCUUUUGUAAGGGUACAACAACGGGGACUAGUCCCAGGAUGAGGGUACCUGAAGAACAAGCAUCGGCUAACUCCGUGCCAGCAGCCGCGGUAAUACGGGGGAUGCGAGCGUUGUCCGGAUUUAUUGGGUUUAAAGGGGGCGCAGGCGGCCUGUUAAGUCAGCGGUAAACGCCCGGGACUCAAGCCCGGCGAGCCGUUGAAACUGGCGGGCUGGAGUGGGAGAGAAGUACGCGGAAUGCGCGGUGUAGCGGUGGAAUGCGUAGAUAUCGCGCAGAACCCCGAUGGCGAAGGCAGCGUACCGGCUCCACACUGACGCUGAGGCACGAAAGCGUGGGUAUCGAACAGGAUUAGAUACCCGAGUAGUC